CUGCGUCUUUGUAGUGUGGAACCAGAUGGCUGUACAGUGGAGGGUGUGUGUGGGGGGGGGGGGUCCCGUGGAUUGCUGCUGGGGCGUGGGCUGAUUCGGCGCGUUCUGAUUCGGCGCGUUCUGCGCGACUCAGGCCGUUGCUAUGGCGUCCGCAGACCUGCCUGUUUGCAGAGGUCUGAUUAGGCGAGUUCCCAGCGACUCACAAUGUUGCUAUGGCGUCCCAAGGGAGUUAUUUUUAACUGAGGCUCAGCGUUCCUGCUGAGACAAUUUUCUUCUGCCAAGCAUACAACAGGCUCCUUAUCCAGACCACUUUAAAUGAAAUGUUUACGUUUGUAGUGUGAAUCCUCCUCGUUCUAAGCCCACAAGAGGACCGGCUUGUGGUCAGGACUUCUCAGAGGGAACUGUUCAUUUUGUUCCCUGCCACCAGCGCCACAGUUCUCCACCAGCUGAGGCUGGUUGGUGUUUACCGAGGCUCUGGUAGUGGAAGAAUCUCGUUUCCUGCCAGCUCAGUCACACAUGUAAAAGAGUCAUUUCCAGCAGAUCCUGGGACACCCAUCACGAGGGUGGGAAGAUCCGGGAGCCCGCACUCUGGCCUGCACUGAAGCUCGGAGCCCCUCUGAAAGAGCCCGGCCCCUGCCUCUCUCUGUCCACUCCCAGCUCCUGGAGGAGGCCCUUUGUCGCAGGAACUUGAGAGGGUCUGGGAGUCAUUUGAAGAGCCUCAAUAGGUUGUGUUGUUAUUAACUCAUAAAUCACUUUUUCCCUCAGAAAAUAAAACUGAAUUUGUGG
rnacentral:lncRNA from 1 species